rnacentral:rRNA from 1 species
AGAGUUUGAUCCUGGCUCAGGACGAACGCUGGCGGCGUGCCUAAUACAUGCAAGUCGAGCGAAGUUUUUCUGGUGCUUGCACUAGAAAAACUUAGCGGCGAACGGGUGAGUAACACGUAAAGAACCUGCCUCAUAGACUGGGACAACUAUUGGAAACGAUAGCUAAUACCGGAUAACAGUAUUUCUCGCAUGAGAGAUAUUUAAAAGUUGGUUAUGCUAACACUAUGAGAUGGCUUUGCGGUGCAUUAGCUAGUUGGUGGGGUAAAGGCCCACCAAGGCGACGAUGCAUAGCCGACCUGAGAGGGUGAUCGGCCACACUGGGACUGAGACACGGCCCAGACUCCUACGGGAGGCAGCAGUAGGGAAUCUUCCGCAAUGGGCGAAAGCCUGACGGAGCAACGCCGCGUGAGUGAAGAAGGAUUUCGGUUCGUAAAGCUCUGUUGUUAGGGAAGAAUGGAUAUGUAGUAACUAUACAUAUAAGAGACGGUACCUAACCAGAAAGCCACGGCUAACUACGUGCCAGCAGCCGCGGUAAUACGUAGGUGGCAAGCGUUGUCCGGAAUUAUUGGGCGUAAAGCGCGCGCAGGUGGUUUAAUAAGUCUGAUGUGAAAGCCCACGGCUCAACCGUGGAGGGUCAUUGGAAACUGUUAAACUUGAGUGCAGGAGAGAAAAGUGGAAUUCCUAGUGUAGCGGUGAAAUGCGUAGAGAUUAGGAGGAACACCAGUGGCGAAGGCGGCUUUUUGGCCUGUAACUGACACUGAGGCGCGAAAGCGUGGGGAGCAAACAGGAUUAGAUACCCUGGUAGUCCACGCCGUAAACGAUGAGUGCUAGGUGU